CCUACGGGGGACUGCAGUCGAGAAUCAUUCACAAUGGGGGAAACCCUGAUGCUGCGACGCCGCGUGGGGGAAUGAAGGUCUUCGGAUUGAAAGCCCCUGCCAUGUGGGAGCAAAUUAAAAAGAUAGUACCACAAGAGGAAGAGAUGGCUAACUCUGUGCCAGCCGCCGCGGUAAUACAGAGGGCUCAAGCGUUGUUCGGAAUCACUGGGCGUAAAGCGUGCGGAGGCGGUUUCGUAAGUCGUGUGUGAAAGGCGCGGGCUUAACCCGCGGACGGCACAUGAUACUGCGAGACUAGAGUAAUGGAGGGGGAACCGGAAUUCUCGGUGUAGCAGUGAAAUGCGUAGAUAUCGAGAGGAACACUCGUGGCGAAGGCGGGUUCCUGGACAUUAACUGACGCUGAGGCACGAAGGCCAGGGGAGCAAAAGGGAUUAGAUACCCGGGUAGUC
rnacentral:rRNA from 1 species